GCUUUCAAGAGGUCCACAGCCUGAGAGGUGUCCCCAGAGAAAGGGGGACAUAAGGGGACAGCAUGCUCAAGAGCAGAGGUGUUUAGGGCAGGUUUGGAUUUAGUGAGCAGGCUGGUUUGCUUACAGAAGAUUUUUAGUGGCAACAGAGGACAAAGAGGAGAGAAAAGGAACUCACAUUUAUUGAGGGCCUACUGUGUGCAAGGUGUUUCAUGUAUAUCUCACUGAAUGUAUACAGCCACCCUGUUGUGGUAUAAUUUUGCUCUUUAUAAAGAGAAAGAAACUGAAGCUCAGAUGGGUUAAGUGGUCUCCUCAACACCAAAAUGCUAAGAAGUAAUGGAGCCUAGACAGAAACCCAGAACUUUGACUCACACUAGUCCACCCUCCACCAUCUUGAUGACUUUCACAUUGUGCUCUGCAGUUCUGCAGAGAUUUUCCAGUAGUUCCAUCUCCAAAAUGUAUUUUAAACUCUUUAUUUUUUUUUUAAUUGUUAUUAUUAUUAUUUUGAGACUGAGUCUUGCUCUAUUGCCCAGGCUGGAGUACAGUGGCACAAUCUCAGCUCACUGAAACCUCUGCCUCCCAGGUUCAAGUGAUUCUCACGCCUCAGCCUCCCAAGUAGCUGGGAUUACAGGUGCCCCCACCAUGCCCGACUAAUUUUUGUAUUUUUAGUAGAAACGGGGUUUCGCCAUGUUGGCCAGGCUGGUCUCAAACUCCUGACCUCAAGUGAUCCGCUCACCUCAGCCUCCCAAAGUGCUGGGAUUACAGGUGUGAGCCACCACGCCCGGCCUAAACUCUUUAAAUCUCUAGUAAAUAACAGCUAGAUUCAAAUGGGCUGAUAACCAAAUUUUAACACAGAAGCAUUCACCGCCAGGUUUGCGUUUAUUUCCAGAUGGGCUCAUUUUGUGUAGACCUUAGAGCAAAGUUUCCUUUAUGGUGUCUGUGUACGUAUCUGAACUUUUAAUUGUUCAUAGAUUUUAAAAGCGGUAGUACCACAUGGCUGUUUAGAUCAGACCUGUGUAUUUAGGUCAGACCUGUGUAUCACAUAAGUGUGUGAGUGCAGUGCAGAUGAGCACCAUUUAGUUAUAUGUGCUAGGCAAAGCUCCAACACAGUUGAUGUGUAGUCUCGUGGUAGAUUUGUGCAUACUGUAAGCAAAUUGCUUAGCUUCUCUAGACAUCAGUUUCCACAUCUGAAAAAUAAGAAGAUGAGAGUACACGGUUGUUACGAACAAAUGACUUAAUGCUUUUACAGCACGUUGCAUGACAUCUGGAACACGGAAAGCCCUCAAUACAUUGAAGCGCUUAGGAUUUUCAUGAUGUUGCUGUCUGCUCAAUUCAAUGCAUGCUUUCUUUAUUGUCCUGACAGUUGUGCGGUCACAAGUUAAUAUGCUUCCAGUUGACUUCCAGUCUACCGUGGUGUUAGAAACCGUUUCAGCUCUUAUUGUAAAUUUGAGUGCUUGUUGUUUUUUAUAUUUGUGAUGACUCUUCCAGCAGUUGUUGACAAUUGUGAGAGGUUUGACUUUUAAAUAAUUACUUAUUUUUUCUGAUUGUGGUUCAGUUUAACUGAAGAAUAGCCUGAGAUUGUAAGAAAAGCAUUUUUUUAAAGGUAUCACUUGUGAUCAUUUAUCUUUCUAAAUUAUAUUUUUAAUACUGUUCGACCAAAGUGAUGCGGUGGUUACCAUGACUCCCUAAUUUCAUGUGUUUUUGUAUUUAUGAAAAUGGUUUCAUUGUCAUUUAUUGACAGUAUACAAAGUAAAAUGUUAUAAAUGUGAAGUUAUAAAAUAAAUAUAUGCUAAUAAAAUCCUAAGUUUUUC
rnacentral:lncRNA from 1 species